rnacentral:rRNA from 1 species
GAUGAACGCUGGCGGCGUGCCUAAUACAUGCAAGUCGAGCGAACGGACGAGAAGCUUGCUUCUCUGAUGUUAGCGGCGGACGGGUGAGUAACACGUGGAUAACCUACCUAUAAGACUGGGAUAACUUCGGGAAACCGGAGCUAAUACCGGAUAAUAUUUUGAACCGCAUGGUUCAAAAGUGAAAGACGGUCUUGCUGUCACUUAUAGAUGGAUCCGCGCUGCAUUAGCUAGUUGGUAAGGUAACGGCUUACCAAGGCAACGAUGCAUAGCCGACCUGAGAGGGUGAUCGGCCACACUGGAACUGAGACACGGUCCAGACUCCUACGGGAGGCAGCAGUAGGGAAUCUUCCGCAAUGGGCGAGAGCCUGACGGAGCAACGCCGCGUGAGUGAUGAAGGUCUUCGGAUCGUAAAACUCUGUUAUUAGGGAAGAACAUAUGUGUAAGUAACUGUGCACAUCUUGACGGUACCUAAUCAGAAAGCCACGGCUAACUACGUGCCAGCAGCCGCGGUAAUACGUAGGUGGCAAGCGUUAUCCGGAAUUAUUGGGCGUAAAGCGCGCGUAGGCGGUUUUUUAAGUCUGAUGUGAAAGCCCACGGCUCAACCGUGGAGGGUCAUUGGAAACUGGAAAACUUGAGUGCAGAAGAGGAAAGUGGAAUUCCAUGUGUAGCGGUGAAAUGCGCAGAGAUAUGGAGGAACACCAGUGGCGAAGGCGACUUUCUGGUCUGUAACUGACGCUGAUGUGCGAAAGCGUGGGGAUCAAACAGGAUUAGAUACCCUGGUAGUCCACGCCGUAAACGAUGAGUGCUAAGUGUUAGGGGGUUUCCGCCCCUUAGUGCUGCAGCUAACGCAUUAAGCACUCCGCCUGGGGAGUACGACCGCAAGGUUGAAACUCAAAGGAAUUGACGGGGACCCGCACAAGCGGUGGAGCAUGUGGUUUAAUUCGAAGCAACGCGAAGAACCUUACCAAAUCUUGACAUCCUUUGACAACUCUAGAGAUAGAGCCUUCCCCUUCGGGGGACAAAGUGACAGGUGGUGCAUGGUUGUCGUCAGCUCGUGUCGUGAGAUGUUGGGUUAAGUCCCGCAACGAGCGCAACCCUUAAGCUUAGUUGCCAUCAUUAGGUUGGGCACUCUAAGUUGACUGCCGGUGACAAACCGGAGGAAGGUGGGGAUGACGUCAAAUCAUCAUGCCCCUUAUGAUUUGGGCUACACACGUGCUACAAUGGACAAUACAAAGGGCAGCGAAACCGCGAGGUCAAGCAAAUCCCAUAAAGUUGUUCUCAGUUCGGAUUGUAGUCUGCAACUCGACUACAUGAAGCUGGAAUCGCUAGUAAUCGUAGAUCAGCAUGCUACGGUGAAUACGUUCCCGGGUCU